AGCUGGGCUGCGAGGGGACAGACGCACAUGCCUCUGAGUGAGGUGGCCAAGCCCCGCGGCCCCGGGGGGCGGCAGCGCAGCACUCCCCGCGCCCCUCCUCGAGCACCCCCUUACCUUGCCUGGGGUGCAGCUUGUGCCUCCUCGCUCCUGUCGUCAAGCCGUCGAUGAAGAGCGUGGCAGCUUGAAGAAGUGGACCAGCAAUUGAACAAUCCCCUGUGUGACAUUUCUUACAGCAGUUGUUUUUUUCUGCAUUUCUAAGAUAAUAGGCAAUUCAAGCAACUUUUGUUCAGGGUUAGAUUUGUGUUGUGCAGUUUUCAGGCACCCUGAGGGAAAAGGAAGAUGAUAUCCUUUUCUGAGUUUUUGUUUUACAGUUUGAAAGGUCUCUGUAAAAAUUUAAGACAUCCUUUAGAGCUAAAUGUAAUUAAUCGUUGUCUUCUACCCCUUCCUCAAAUGAAAACCCAAAACCUUGGUUUAAAAGUUUUUUAAACCUUUAACUCCUGUAAGCAAGGCAAAAGAGAAGUUUGGAAGUUCAACUUGCACUUCCAUAGAAAAUGUCAAAGUUCUUUACAUUUGUCACUCAACUUUGGGACAAAGCACAGAAUCGGUAUUUGCUGCAGAAAGGGAAAGUUUUAAAAUAAAAAUCAAUUCAGAAUCCACUUCUGGGCAAAAUGGCACCUUCUGACUCUUCAACUGGUGAAGUCCUACAAACCUCAACUAUUACAAGUCAAUUAUUUAUUUUGUAUGAUGAAUAUAAAAAAGAGUUAAGUAAAGCAUCACCUGCAAAGCCAUGCAUCUUCAACCCUGUGACUGGCUGGCCAGGGUUGGAGGGCUGGGAGGCAGAGGAAUCUCCAGGAUUGUGGAGACCCAAGUCAGGACACCCUUAGGACAAGGUGUAAUGGCACAUAACCUCCCUGCGUGGCCUUGUGCCCACGUUUAUAAGCCAGGUUUAAUUAAAGUCUUGGAUGCUUACAGUGAGAUGACUCACCCAUAUUGGCUGGGGUGCUUCCAGAACAGAGUUGCCCUGCAUGCAGUCAGUUCUGACAGUGGUGUUGGUUCUUCUCGCUGUGUCCAUCCUUAGGGCUGGUGUGAGCAUAGCUGUGGCUGCCUGAUGGCUGCCCACUUCUGGGGAGCAGUUGUCUCCCUGCUUCCCUGUGAGUGUGUAGGUGCACUGACACGCCCAUUCUGGUAUGUGUCAUCUACUGCCAAGAGCAGGCCUUCCUAAAAACAAACAAGGUUGUAUCGCCAUGCGCUCACCUUGUUGAUGAAUGAACCUGAACCAGAUUUGUUUACAGUGCUGCAAAGGGCCUGCAUAGUAACAUUGUCCUGUCCUUGCAGCUGAUUGCUCAUCCACACACAUUGAGAAAGAGAUCCUCAGAAGAGGAGCAAACCCAAACUUUUCUAAAAGUAUGGCCUUUCCUGUGUCAGUAUGAACGAUUGUGGAAUCCCCAUCCAUCCCACACCUUUUGUGUCCCGAUGGAGUUGGAAAAGCCACCAAGGUCUUUGGGCUGCUGGAUCAACAAAAUACCAUACAUCAUACCAUCACUGCAUAGCAGCCAAGACUUUCUUUUAGGUGUGUUUUCUCACCCUGAUUCUUUGUCUUGUCAAAUAAAUGACUCAUAGCAGGACUGUUCUCUGAGCUGCAGUGCUUGCAGAGCACCCUGAACCCUGACCAUCUUCCAGCGCCUUCCUACAAUGUCCGUAUGUACCUCAAAGCUUUCAGAUUUCACAGAGAGAGAUACACGGUGCUUGGGCUUGGGAUAAUGCUCCAGAAAUCAUGGCGAGAGAAGGAAGGGUAAGCUGUAUCUUGAACUCAAGGUGGGUGUGGACACAUUUCCCAGGAGUGCCAGGGGGAGCCUGUGCUGCCAGUUGGGCGUGUGGAGCAAUAUCGAGCAGCCGGUCAGGAAAGGGGGAGUGAGGAAAAGUGAACCGAGUUGCCUGAGGAAGGAGAGAUGAAAAGCUGAGCAUAGCAUUAGGGCUGAGUCAGCGGGGAGGGGAGGAGGCUUACAUGGAGCUGGUCCUGCUGGUAUCCUGGGGAAGAGGGGUGCAGUCUUCAGUCCUCAGAUCAGCAUGGUGUUGGGGAACAGGUCUGGUUUAUCUGGGCUGCAGAGUGCCCCAGGGCAUCCCCAUUUCACAGACAUCCCACCACUCAGCCUCAGCAUCCCCCCCGAUGCCACACCAGGUGCUGGUGAGAGCUGCUUUGCUUCUGUUCAGCUCACUGUCACAGGAAAAUCUAUCAAAGCUUUGGAUUUUUUUUUUCUCCUUAGUUUUCUACAAGGUAACCAGUUAAUUUGGCUCUGGGGUGAGGUUUGAAGGAGCUCAGGAGCUGGCAUGGAGUGAAAAGUGACAGCACAUACGUGUGACUUGGUUGGGUAGGACCCUUUCCUUUUUGGCACUGAGCUGAAUGGAGCAAGGUUGUUUUGUGGAGCAUCCUCACAGGCCCACCCAGUGAUCUGAAACCCCCUUCCUGAGGGAAGGCAAGAAACACGGCUCCAUCAUUUAGAAGAGGGGAUCCAACGCAUGGCACUCCUUUAUGGGGCAGAGUUGGGAGUGGACUGAAGGCUCUCAGGGCUAAAUCCUGGUUUUGCAAUGUCACUAAACAUACAUUUAUGCACGCCAUGCAGCAUGGCAUGACUUCCAGAGCCAUUUCCAUCAAUAUGUACAAGUUGUAUGUUGUGUGGCAUUUUGAAUCUUUACACCUGGAGAUUAGGAGGUGCAGAAUGAAAGCUGUAGUGUAAAUAGAUAGAUUAUGGGGAGUUUAGAGAAACUAAGCUGCAAUCUUAAAUUCAAAUAACUUUCCUAUUAGGAAGGAUCUAUUAAUACUUACGGUAUGGUAAUUGUGCUGGCUCCAAGUCCUCACCCAGUCAAAAGUAAGUCAUAAGAGCCCAUACCUACACAUAGAAAAAUCUCCUUAAAACACUGGGAAUUUUGCCUAGAUAAAUACUGCAGAACCUGAGCUGCAAAUGCCUCUUUUAUAAACUACAAAAUCAGAACUUGAUCACAAAAGCAAAACUUCAGUAAGAAAUUUAAGGCAGUGCACACUGCUGCAAGAAUACACUCGAGGAACCCAGAUUUCCUGAGGUUUUUGCACUGCUUUCCCCCUUGUUACCAUUUCCUUUUCCCUAUAGGUGAGGCCAUCCCCAGUACUAAUCUUUGUUCUUUGUGGCUCAGCCGCUCUGGGUAAGCAUCAUCUUCCUUUAUCUGCUGCCUCCUCUUGCUUGCCCAAUGAUUAUCCCAGAAGGAAGAUGGUUUCCCUUUGAUGGUUGCUCCUCAAUGCCACAAGAUAUCUGAAGACAGCCAAUGUUUUCUCCUCCUGUCUAAUCUGUGUGGUCAGAAAGUGAAAGAUUGCAUUCCCUUCAAACAGCUGACCACCCUCUCCUGCCUCUCUCAUUCAUCUGCUGAUGCUGGUAACAAGGAUACCACUCUGGGCUGCCUUCCUCUUCAUUUUGGAAGCUCUCAUAAAGGCUUCUCUUUAAAAGACAUUUUCAGCAGUUGUGUCAAAGCUGGACUUUUACAUUGUUGUAAGCCUUUCACAUUUGUUUGGAGGGACUGAGACUUGCAAAUUUUUGGUGUAUACUUAAUUUUCAAACUUGCUAUCUGUGCCAAGCCAACUCUUUUUUGUCCUCAUUAAAAGGAUUUAAAUAUACAGUUUGACUCAUCUACUGUAGCCCUUUAAGCUCCUGCUUCCUCCCUGGUGUUCUCUUCUUACCCCAUGUAUUGUGCUGCUGCCAUCAAGGUGUGAAUCACUGGGUUGUUUGGGGAUUUGCUCCUCGGACCUAUAGGAGGGUGAGAAGUGCUCCCUGCCAUUCCCAGCAGUACCAGCACGGCAGUGCUAUCACUGCUGUCACACCUAGCUGUCUGUGGGCCCAUAUCCUGGUCCCCAUUUCAGGGCCAGUGGCUGAGGGAGAUGUGAAAUGAUGUGCCAGGAUGCUUCAGAGCCAUUGGUGCCAUCCCACUCCCCUGAAUACUGAGAUGCGCACACUGAAGUUAUCCAGGGAAAUAAUACCCAAACAUCCUUCAUCUGGGUCCUGGGUCAAACUGUGCAACACAGCCCACGUAGAUGCUGCAAAUGUGUGAGAUUUUCAUCUUCAGGUCAGCACGGAUGGACAUAAUGAUCCCUUGAGGCUCUCCGCUUGAAACUGCUGGUUCCAAUUCACCCCUCCCCUGCUCCCAGCGUUGCUGCUGACCACACACUGCUCCUUUCCUUACACCUCUUAUCUGCCAAAUGGAAAAUGCUCAGAGUAGCCCAGCUUCUGCAUCUUGGUGCAGUCGGGCAGUUCCUUUGGCCUGAUAAGCUGUUAUAGAUCCCAUCCCCCUUUUUACUACAGGUAAACCUGGGACAGGUCCUAAAGUAGCUGAGAAACAAUUCUGAAUCUUCCCAUUUUUGUGCAAACUAAGCCAUGUCAAGCUAAACAUAUUGGUUUACCUUUUGUUUGACAUGCUGUAAGUCAAACAGGACCUGAAUACCGUCCUCAUUACUUGAUAUUAUGUAUAUAUGCAUCUAUGCUGUGUUCCAGGUGCCUUUGCCAAAAUAUUAACAGUAAUACUAGGAGGACUAAACGGAGCAGAUGUUCUGUAAUCCCACACCAAAAGGCAACUUGGGAGUGUUGGAAAUUAUGCAGGUACAAAAAGUUUUAUCCCUUGAGCCAUGUACUUUUAUUAUAUAAACGAAUUAUUGUAACAGCUCUCUGAGGUGUCACCAUCAUCUUAUGAAGAGGAGGCUGAGAUGGUUGAUUUGGCAAGGAGCAUGGGGUCAUGGAGUUCUGACCUCAUGGUAGUUCCACCCUCCCUCUCUAUCUUGUAUGCAGCCUAAGUGUAUAAUGUAAUAUUUCAGAACAGGGAUCAUUAAACUGUAAAACUCUA